rnacentral:rRNA from 1 species
CUUGCUCUGUGGGAUCAGUGGGCGAACGGGUGAGUAACACGUGAGCAACCUGCCCCUGACUCUGGGAUAAGCGCUGGAAACGGCGUCUAAUACUGGAUAUGUGACGUGACCGCAUGGUCUGCGUUUGGAAAGAUUUUUCGGUUGGGGAUGGGCUCGCGGCCUAUCAGCUUGUUGGUGAGGUAAUGGCUCACCAAGGCGUCGACGGGUAGCCGGCCUGAGAGGGUGACCGGCCACACUGGGACUGAGACACGGCCCAGACUCCUACGGGAGGCAGCAGUGGGGAAUAUUGCACAAUGGGCGGAAGCCUGAUGCAGCAACGCCGCGUGAGGGAUGACGGCCUUCGGGUUGUAAACCUCUUUUAGCAGGGAAGAAGCGAAAGUGACGGUACCUGCAGAAAAAGCGCCGGCUAACUACGUGCCAGCAGCCGCGGUAAUACGUAGGGCGCAAGCGUUAUCCGGAAUUAUUGGGCGUAAAGAGCUCGUAGGCGGUUUGUCGCGUCUGCUGUGAAAUCCCGAGGCUCAACCUCGGGCCUGCAGUGGGUACGGGCAGACUAGAGUGCGGUAGGGGAGAUUGGAAUUCCUGGUGUAGCGGUGGAAUGCGCAGAUAUCAGGAGGAACACCGAUGGCGAAGGCAGAUCUCUGGGCCGUAACUGACGCUGAGGAGCGAAAGGGUGGGGAGCAAACAGGCUUAGAUACCCUGGUAGUCCACCCCGUAAACGUUGGGAACUAGUUGUGGGGUCCAUUCCACGGAUUCCGUGACGCAGCUAACGCAUUAAGUUCCCCGCCUGGGGAGUACGGCCGCAAGGCUAAAACUCAAAGGAAUUGACGGGGACCCGCACAAGCGGCGGAGCAUGCGGAUUAAUUCGAUGCAACGCGAAGAACCUUACCAAGGCUUGACAUAUACGAGAACGGGCCAGAAAUGGUCAACUCUUUGGACACUCGUAAACAGGUGGUGCAUGGUUGUCGUCAGCUCGUGUCGUGAGAUGUUGGGUUAAGUCCCGCAACGAGCGCAACCCUCGUUCUAUGUUGCCAGCACGUAAUGGUGGGAACUCAUGGGAUACUGCCGGGGUCAACUCGGAGGAAGGUGGGGAUGACGUCAAAUCAUCAUGCCCCUUAUGUCUUGGGCUUCACGCAUGCUACAAUGGCCGGUACAAAGGGCUGCAAUACCGUGAGGUGGAGCGAAUCCCAAAAAGCCGGUCCCAGUUCGGAUUGAGGUCUGCAACUCGACCUCAUGAAGUCGGAGUCGCUAGUAAUCGCAGAUCAGCAACGCUGCGGUGAAUACGUUCCCGGGUCUUGUACACACCGCCCGUCAAGUCAUGAAAGUCGGUAACACCUGAA